rnacentral:other from 1 species
AUUCCCCUGUGCUGUUGGUGAUUGCUAAAGUGUGUUGAGCCAACUCUCAAUAAAAGGGCGUUGUCUCUUGUCAGUAAAGGUGAAUCGGUGACGAAUUGGCUGAGCUGAUAAUAUGAUGCCCACCUAUUAAUUUAGGUUUAACUAUCUUAGCGACACGGCAGUGUGGGGGAUUU